rnacentral:lncRNA from 1 species
UCUCAUUGCUCAAAAGUAGAUCGCCAUGGAAAUGCCCUGCUGGUCACAGAUGGUGACAGAUGGAGCAUCCUGUAUUGGGCUGUAUUGAAGCUCUUAUCUCCCCCUUAGGGGCUGCUCAGAAAACUAUAAAGCCAAGAAAAUCCCUUCAAUACAUUAUGUAGUUUCAUCUUUAUGUAGCCUCAUCUCAUCUCUCCAAUACAGUCGCAUGAACCUUCUGUUUCUGUGCUAAGUACUUGGUUUUAGGCUUAUGUGAUCAUAAUAGUGGCCAAGUGCACCCGGGGGUAAGUGUGCCUGGGCUAUGGUAACUCACCCCGUUCUGCCCAGCGUGUGCUUAUCCCCAAGGCUGUAGUUUGAAUGCCUAGACUCCCCAUCUCCAUGUGCUCUGAUCCUUUGUUGCUAGGCACCUUCAUUACAAACUCAUGCCUUGGGUCACAUCUCAGAUGCCUAGUGGCUGUCCUGUGUUAGCAUCCGUGAUGAGCUAACUGCCUCCCUUGCCCAUUGUGUUACCCCUGUUGACUUCUGUCAGGUAUCAGUCUCUGCUGGAGCUGGGUGAGAAGAGAAAAGGCAUGUUGGAGAAGAGUUGCAAGAAGUUCAUGUUGUUCCGGGAAGCGAACGAGCUACAGCAGUGGAUCAACGAGAAGGAAGCUGCUCUAACGAGUGAAGAGGUUGGCGCUGACUUGGAGCAGGUCGAGGUGCUGCAGAAGAAGUUCGAUGACUUCCAGAAGGAUCUGAAAGCCAAUGAGUCCCGGCUGAAGGACAUUAACAAAGUGGCCGAGGACCUGGAGUCUGAAGGUCUCAUGGCGGAAGAAGUGCAGGCCGUGCAGCAGCAGGAGGUGUAUGGUAUGA